rnacentral:rRNA from 1 species
UACGGGGGGGGCAAGCGUUGUUCGGAAUUACUGGGCGUAAAGGGCUCGUAGGUGGCCAACUAAGUCAGACGUGAAAUCCCUCGGCUUAACCGGGGAACUGCGUCUGAUACUGGAUGGCUUGAGUUCGGGAGAGGGAUGCGGAAUUCCAGGUGUAGCGGUGAAAUGCGUAGAUAUCUGGAGGAACACCGGUGGCGAAGGCGGCAUCCUGGAC